rnacentral:rRNA from 1 species
AGCGUUGUUGGGAUUCAUUGGGCGUAAAGGGUGCGUAGGCGGCGAAGCAAGUCAGAUGUGAAAUCCCGGGGCUCAACCCCGGAACUGCAUUUGAUACUGCUUUGCUCGAGGACUGGAGAGGAGAUCGGAAUUCACGGUGUAGCAGUGAAAUGCGUAGAUAUCGUGAGGAAGGCCAGUGGCGAAGGCGGAUCUCUGGACAGUUCCUGACGCUGAGGCACGAAGGCCAGGGGAGCAAACGGG